UACGAAGGGUGCAAGCGUUACUCGGAAUUACUGGGCGUAAAGGGUGCGUAGGUGGUUUGAUAAGUUAGCUGUGAAAUUCCUGGGCUUAACCUAGGGUGGUCAGCUAAGACUGUUAGACUAGAGUAUAGGAGAGGGUAGUGGAAUUUCCGGUGUAGCGGUGAAAUGCGUAGAGAUCGGAAGGAACACCAGUGGCGAAGGCGGCUACCUGGCCAAAUACUGACACUGAGGCACGAAAGCGUGGGGAGCAAACAGG
rnacentral:rRNA from 1 species